AGCAGAGACCAGAGUCUCCUGAACCUGAACCUGAACCUGAACCCGAACCCAGCUGUGUGUUCUUUAAGAGCGACCGGUCAAAUUAUCAACAACCCUAUGCUGAAACGAGGAUCCUUCAAAGACCAGACUCUGCUGAACCUGAACCCAGCUGUGUGUCCUUCAAGAGUGACUGGUCAAUAUAUCACCUCAUUGACUUUAAAGGUCAACAACCCACUGCUGAAAAGAGAGUGGACCAGGAGAGCUCAGAGGUUCUC